CAGUACCUCCCCUGAGCCUCCGUCCGUCAGUUCACAGUCAUCCCCCGUCGCCGUCACUGAGAAACCUUGGCCUGCCCCCCGCCAUGCCUCUUCGUCCGUCACACCGUCAGUCUCCUCUUCAUGCACGCGCCAUGCUGUAACGCGAGGCAGGCACCAGGGAAUGCGGAACUGCACGCCACCUCACGGUCAGGCGAAAGCUUCUCCUCCACACACUUCAUUGACAAGCUGAGGAAUGUCGUAAUUCUCUCCCUUCAACCAUCGGUCGCCUGGCAGUGGAGAAAGGAGCACUGACCUCCAUAAAUCCCUUUCUGAAAUCUAACGGUAACAUUUCCCAGCAAAAAGUUAUAAUGGAGUAAUGUGUUAAUGUUUUAUUUAUACACAUGUUUUUCUAUCUAAUUUUCGUCUUUCCGUUCACUUCCAUAUGCCACACGUACGAGAACUCUAGCAAGAUGGAUACGCCCCGUCAAGACGUCACGUCAUAACACAGCAAGGAGGCAGCACCGAGAUAAAUAACCAUACUAGAUGAUGCAGCAAGACUUCGCUAGCACAUUAGAAACUAUAAACAACAUACUAAAAUUUGUUACUUUAGAGUUGUAGAUGGAGUACCUUACGAAAGACAGCAUCGUAUGAUGAAACAUGUCUGCCGCUGUUAUUUCUUUUCUCCCUCACGUUCAUUUGUAUUGCUUUACAAAAUCAAGGAACGAAAGGAAAGCAGGAUGUGAACAGACAAGCGAAAUAACACGAUAAUAAAGGAAACGAAACAAGACAACUGAAACCAAUAGUGGAA